rnacentral:rRNA from 1 species
CCUACGGGGGGCAGCAGUGGGGAAUAUUGGGCAAUGGGCGGAAGCCUGACCCAGCAACGCCGCGUGAAGGAAGAAGGUUCUCGGGUUGUAAACUUCUUUUAUCAGGGACGAAGCAAGUGACGGUACCUGAUGAAUAAGCCACGGCUAACUACGUGCCAGCAGCCGCGGUAAUACGUAGGUGGCAAGCGUUAUCCGGAUUUACUGGGUGUAAAGGGCGUGUAGGCGGGAAAGCAAGUCAGAUGUGAAAACCAUGGGCUCAACCUGGGGCCUGCCUUUGAAACUGUUUUUCUUGAGUACUGGAGAGGCAAGCGGAAUUCGUAGUGUAGCGGUGAAAUGCGUAGAUAUUAGGAGGAACACCAGUGGCGAAGGCGGUCUGCUGGACAGCAACUGACGCUGAGGCGCGAAAGCGUGGGGAGCAAACAGGAUUAGAUACCCCUGUAGUC